CCUACGGGAGGCAGCAGUGAGGAAUAUUGGUCAAUGGGCGCUAGCCUGAACCAGCCAAGUAGCGUGAAGGAUGACUGCCCUAUGGGUUGUACACUUCUUUUAUAUGGGAAUAAAGUGCAGUAUGUAUACUGCUUUGCAUGUACCUUAUGAGUAAGGAUCGGCUAACUCCGUGCCAGCAGCCGCGGUAAUACGGAAGAUCCGAGCGUUCUCCGGAUUUAUUGGGUUUAAGGGGUGCGUAGGCGGAUCGUUAAGUCAGUGGUAAAAUUGAGGGGCUCAACCCCUUCCCGCCAGUGAUACUGGCGUUCUUGAGUGGAAGAGAAGUAUGCGGAAUGCGUGGUGUAGCGGUGAAAUGCAUAGAUAUCACGCAGAACCCCGAUUGCGAAGGCAGCAUGCCGGCUUCCGACUGACGCUGAAGCACGAAAGCGUGGGGAUCGAACAGGAUUAGAUACCCGGGUAGUC
rnacentral:rRNA from 1 species